rnacentral:rRNA from 1 species
AACGAACGCUGGCGGCAUGCCUAACACAUGCAAGUCGGACGAGACCUUCAGAAAUCGUGGCGCACGGGUGCGUCACGCGUAGACACCUGCCCAUAACUUCGGAAUAACUACCCAACAGGGCAGCUAAUACCGGCUCAUGUCUUGGUCCCAAAGAUUUAUCUCCUUUGGAUGGGCCCGCGUUGGAUUAGCUAGUUGGUAGGGUAAAAGCCUACCAAGGCGACGAUCCAUAGCUGGUCUGAGAGGAUGAUCAGCCACACUGGGACUGAGACACGGCCCAGCACACUACGGGAGGCAGCAGUGGGGAAUAUUGGACAAUGGGCGAAACACUGAUCCUCCCAGGCCGCGUGAGUGAUGAAGGCCUUAGGGUUCCUCUCCUCUUUUACCCGGGAUGAUAAUGACAGUACCGGGAGAAUAAGCUCCGGCUAACUCCGUG